rnacentral:lncRNA from 1 species
CUUUUUUCUCUGUCCUUAUGAAUUAGGGUGUGGUUUUACAGAGAACUUGGAUUAAUUUUUCAUUUAUCAGUUUUUUAAGUGGAAUUUUAGUCCAUUUAAUGUAAGUAGAUAUUUGAAGGUCAUAUUUACCAACUUAUUUUUGGCCUUUCAGUUGCCUCACAUGUUCUACUUUUUAUUGCCCUGCUUUUUUACCCCUUCAGGGAUCAAGUGAGUUUUUUUGUUUGUUUGUUUGUUUGUUUG